AACCUUCCCUCGCUAGCUGGUUGUCAGUUACAGACCAACCUGAACCCAGAGUGUUUCAAGUCCCGAACAACUCCCUCUUCCUUUGGGAUGGUUUCUGGUGAACCUUCUACAACUGCUUUGAGAGGCGUGAAGUUAAUUUUCCUGUGAGCAGCAACAGCUGAGAACCUCAGAUUCGGUCGCUAGAAGACAAACUAUGGAGGCACGUUUCAUUAUCAGCAUUUGGCUGUUUAUCCACCUGGGUGUGGUGCUGGGUGACUCGGUCCAGUCCAAGGACCCCCAAAUGUCUGGAACAGAAGGAGACCAUGUGGCCCUCAGUUGCUCCUACACUACCAGCUCUCCCGGUUCCCUCUCUCUCUACUGGUACCGCCAGUAUCCCAACCAAGCCCCGCAGUACAUUGAGCAGAGAGGCGCCAAGGGAAACACGUAUGGUCAUACUGCAGAUUUCGCCCAGGAGAGGUUUUCUUCCCAGGCUGAUGACAGCUCCACUCUUCUGAACAUCCCAGUCCUGGAGCCGACAGAUACAGCGGUGUCUUACUGCGCCCUGCAGAGGGCACAGUGACAGAGCCAUAUGCCAGAGCUGUACAAAAACCCUUCCAGCCUUAUUGCAGCUG